GGCAAUCUGGACGUCUAGGAAUCGGGUCCUACAUGAAAGACAUAAUCAACUGGCUCAAUAAAUAGUGGAAAUGGUGAAAAAAUAUACAAAAGAAUGGGGAGAGGUUAAAAAACGCUUAUCUAUUAGAAUUCCUGUACUAGAAGGAUAGGGACCAUCGGUGUCAGAUCUGAUCAGAAUAAAAUUUGAUGGAGCUUUUCAAAGGAGCACAAAUGAGUCGUGUACAAGACUGGUAGUGAGGAGGCCUGAUAGGACGGUGUUAGGCUUGAAAACAAUAAUCAACAAAUGUAUUUCAUCAAUGUUUGCGGUAAAAACGGUUGCAUGUCUCUAGGUGACACAAAUAGAAGUAGAUUUAGGAUUUCAAAGGGUUGAGAUUAAGGGAAAUGCUCUUGUAAUAAUAAUAAAAGACAAAUAUAAAUAGGAGAGAUGAAUCAGUGAUUAGUGCUUACAUCUAAGAUAUUAGAAAAUUGAAUGAAGUUUUCCGUACCUAUCGUUUCUCAUAUACUGAAAGAGGAAGAAAUGGGUUGGCUCACAUGCUAGCAACGGAGGGUAUGAAGAGGAAAAAACAAAUCUGUCUGGUAGGAGAAGUGUCCCCGUUUGCAAGGAGGAAAAUGGAGGAGGGAAUCUUAAUCAGCCGAUGAAGCAUUGGGGCAAAGAUGGGGCAUAAAAGGUACCUUAGGGAAAACAAUAGUGUAUUCUUUGAGAAGCUAAAAUGGAAAUGAUAGAGAUGAAGGCUUCGUUCUUUAUUGCAUCUGAGAUGGGCUUUUACAUGUAAAAGCACUUUUCUCUGAAAAGCAAUAAAGAACGAACUUCAUCUCUUGCAAAUUUCCAGCGUUUUUGAAGUGCUUUUGGGUAGAUGAAAAAGGAGAUUUUUUAAGCUUUUUCAGCCAAGAAGUGCUUUUGGGCUGGUCUUUUACUUUUUUAGCCACACAACACACAAACAACGUUGGUUCUUUGUUUUCAUCCAAAAU
rnacentral:lncRNA from 1 species